rnacentral:rRNA from 1 species
UACGUAGGGGGCAAGCGUUGUCCGGAUUUAUUGGGCGUAAAGAGCGUGUAGGCGGCUUUACAGGUCCGUUGUGAAAACUCGAGGCUCAACCUCGAGACGCCGGUGGAAACCGUAAGGCUAGAGUCCGGAAGAGGAGAGUGGAAUUCCUGGUGUAGCGGUGAAAUGCGCAGAUAUCAGGAGGAACACCCGUGGCGAAAGCGGCUCUCUGGGACGGUACUGACGCUGAGGCGCGAAAGCUAGGGGAGCGAACAGG